rnacentral:rRNA from 1 species
GACGAACGCUGGCGGCGUGCUUAACACAUGCCAGUCGAACGGAAAGGCCCUGCUUUUGUGGGGUGCUCGAGUGGCGAACGGGUGAGUAACACGUGAGUAACCUGCCCUUGACUUUGGGAUAACUUCAGGAAACUGGGGCUAAUACCGGAUAGGAGCUCCUGCUGCAUGGUGGGGGUUGGAAAGUUUCGGCGGUUGGGGAUGGACUCGCGGCUUAUCAGCUUGUUGGUGGGGUAGUGGCUUACCAAGGCUUUGACGGGUAGCCGGCCUGAGAGGGUGACCGGCCACAUUGGGACUGAGAUACGGCCCAGACUCCUACGGGAGGUAGCAGUGGGGAAUAUUGCACAAUGGGCGGAAGCCUGAUGCAGCAACGCCGCGUGCGGGAUGACGGCCUUCGGGUUGUAAACCGCUUUCGCCUGUGACGAAGCGUGAGUGACGGUAAUGGGUAAAGAAGCACCGGCUAACUACGUG